UUGGAAUUGAGAAAAGUAAUUAUAGGAUCAUGGAUCUUGUAGAGGAAAGAACCUCAGAGGCCUUCACCUCAACCUCCCUCAUUUUCAAAGAUGAUGAAAUCCAAGGCAAAAAGGGUUAGGUGACUUUUGUCCAGGGUCUCCACCACAACACUGGCUGCCCUAAGUUUCAUGAAAAAAGAUGGCAUUUCACUAAUCCUUGAAGAAUGAACAAAAAGUAUCCAGGUUACCCCAUUCCAAAGUCUUGACCCUAUUUGCAAAGAAGUAAAGAGGAAUCUCAACAAAUGGACUUCAAGAGGGACUCUCCAGAAAGGAAGUCUUCUUUUCAAGUUUCUUCAUCUCAG